AUUAACGCUAGCGGCAGGCAUAAUACAUGCAAGUUGAACGGCAGCGCAGGUAGCAAUACCGGGUGGCGAGUGGCGCACGGGUGCGUAACACGUAUGCAACCUACCCUAUACAGGCGAAUAACCUUUAGAAAUGAGGGCUAAUACGCCGUGGUAUUAUCUUGGGGCAUCUUGAGAUAAUUAAAGAUUUAUCGGUAUAGGAUGGGCAUGCGUCCCAUUAGUUAGUUGGUAGGGUAACGGCCUACCAAGGCUAUGAUGGGUAGGGG
rnacentral:rRNA from 1 species